CCACUUUGCCCUCCCUGCCACUCCCCUAUUUAAUCAGCCCCAGGAGAGGCAGAAGCCCCAAGUUUGCCCAACUGGGCAGAGGGAUCCUCCUCCUGUCACUGCUGCAGAAACACACAGGAACUCUCAAGAGAAAUACUUGUAACUCUGAAUUUACAAUCAUGUGGCUGAUGAUCUUUGGUUUGGCCAUGAUAUGGUCCUCUGCAGUCAGUGUGAAGAUUGAAGACUGUAUAAGAAUCACUGAAGGCUCUUACUAGUGCUAAGACACACUGCAGAACCACUGCAUCCUUUCCUCAACGGAAACUCUUUUUCGCUUAUUUCUUGGCUAACUUUAUGGAACAGCUCAGUGAGGUAUGAGCUACUUGUGCUGCUAUGUGGAGUAGGAUUGGACACACUUUUGAGAAAAAGCUCUUCUCUUCAGUUCAAUUUUCCCUUAUGGCUUUGAUAAAGAAAUGAAAAAUGUGCCAGCAGCAACUGGGAGUGACACUGGCAUGCACUGAUUUCAGAUCUCCGAAGGUGCUGGUGAGGCUUUUCAUUUAGAGCUCUGACCUUUCCUGCUCUUAAGUCAUGUAGUACUUCCAUAUGGUCUACAAUAUUUACUAGAUGUGUCUAGCAUCAGCCUGCCCAGACCAUGCUGGAUACAGAAGUACAUGACAGUGAACAACUAAUGGAUCAGUGAGAUGAAAUUUCACAAUCUUUUGCCUGUAAUUCUCCCUCAAGAUCCCUGACAUUAAACAAUGUCAAUUUUGCCUGAAUAAAUGUUAUGGAAUAGCUUCAGAUAAAUCCAGUCAUAGAUAACAUGUUUUCAGGAAGGAACCAAUUUGUUGUUAUGAUUUUGCAUUUUUAAGGAAAUUAGAUUACCUAUGACAACUUGGCCACAAUAAAGAAUUUUGACCAAAGAAAAA